UUCAUACUCCCUCCGUCCGGAAUUACUUAUCGCAAAAAUGGAUAAAAGUAGAUGUAUCUAGAACUAAAAUACAUCUUGAUACAUUCAUUUCUGAGACAAGUAAUUUCGGACGGAGGGAGUACUUC
rfam:Triticum aestivum genome assembly, contig: Triticum_aestivum_CS42_TGACv1_scaffold_405211_5BL